CUGAAUUUUAUAAAGCUGAUCGAUAUCUUGGUAAAAUAUUCAUUUUUAAACUAGCGGGCAGUGAAAUCUUUGCUUUGUGCUAAAGUCAACAGUAGCACAGUUUGAGCUCAAAUAAAUGCUGUGAUGCCUCCGCUCCAAGCAGUUGGUCGCGUCUCGCUAAUGCUGGAUUGUCAUCGCCUUCAAAUGCGCAGCUCAGGGGGGCACCAGAAAACUCAGUGUCUUAAACCUCAGAAAUUCCAGCCUCUGAAAAUGGAAGACCUGCAGCAUUAUGAGACAGUAACUACAUUCUUCU